rnacentral:lncRNA from 1 species
CUAUUGUAUACUAUUGUGGCUAACCUGUGUAAAGCAAUGGCCUGGGCAAGAGAACUUUUCAGUUCCAUUACCCUAGGGUCAGUCUUUGGCCAAGAUUAAACUCACAGUCAUGUCCAGGUACCAACUGAUGAAUACAAGAGGGGACAAAGUCUUGGGGAACCCGUGGGGAUGCGCAGUGAGCAGGCACCUGUCCUGGCUGUGCUGUUCUGCAGGGAGCCAGCCUGAUGUCCAGUCACCUGCCAGAUUAGGGGCAGGUCAGAGAAGGCACCUGAGACAGUGGUAGCACAUCAUGGGACAGAGCCAGAUAACCACCUUCUUCCUCUCUACGCUAGGCCCUAUGGAAAGGACGUGCCUCGGCUAGACUACUGGCUGGCCUAUGAGACCAUCAUGAAGAAGUUUGGAGGAAGACCCCACUGGGCAAAGGCCCACAAUUGCACCCGGAAGGACUUUGAGGAAAUGUACCCCACCUUUCACAAGUUCUGUGACAUCCGUGAGAAGCUGGACCCCACUGGAAUGUUCUUGAAUUCGUACCUGGAGAAAGUCUUCUACUAAAGCAGGAGUGGAAACAAACCACCCUGACCCCUCACACUUCUGCUGCCCCCGGGGGUCUGGGGAGCAGAGAAGUGCCUCACAAGCACAAUGGGAACUGACCUCUCCUCCUGACCACAAAGAAAGGCUGGGCUCUGGGCGGGUCCUCUCUGCCUUCGGCAUCAUUUCCCUUACAUCCAGGCAAGAAGUGGCCUCUCACUCAAAUUCCUG